rnacentral:RNase_P_RNA from 1 species
UUACCUCCACAAGGGAUCGCGGGUUAGAGUUAAGCUAACCUGAGGAAAGUCCGAACUCCUUAUUGCCGAAAGGCGUGUACCACGUACUUAGGAAAUUUUUCCUAAGGAUUGGCAGGGCGUGAGCUUUGGGAGCAAACUCGUUCCGAGGAGCUGAAAAGGGCAACAGAAAGAUACAGCUUUAUAACUUUUUUAUGUUAUAGAGCAAUGGUGAAAUGGUGGUGUAAGAGACCACCGGGCUUUGGAGUAAUUCAAAGCUGCUGGCAACCCCUACACGGAGCAACCAAUAUUGAUUGGGCAUAGACUAAUGAUCCCAUAAACAGAAUUCGGCUUAUGUGGAGGUGUCACU